rnacentral:rRNA from 1 species
UACGUAGGGUGCAAGCGUUAAUCGGAAUUACUGGGCGUAAAGCGUGCGCAGGCGGUUAUGCAAGACAGAUGUGAAAUCCCCGGGCUCAACCUGGGAACUGCAUUUGUGACUGCAUGGCUAGAGUACGGUAGAGGGGGAUGGAAUUCCGCGUGUAGCAGUGAAAUGCGUAGAGAUGUGGAGGAACACCGAUGGCGAAGGCAGCCCCCUGGGCCAAAACUGACGCUCAGGCACGAAAGCGUGGGGAGCAAACAGG